rnacentral:lncRNA from 1 species
CUUCUUCUCUCCGCAUCUCUGUGCGUCUCCGCAACUCCGCCUCCCGUCCGUCAGACCCUUGCCCGUCUCGCCGCGCUUCUGCCUCUGUCCCUGCCUUUUUCUCUCCGUUCGGCUCCGCGUGUCUGCACCUCCCCGCCACUCUCUGCCUCCUCCUGGCUCCGCGUCCCCGCGCGAGUCUCCGUGUCUCUCGGCCUCCCUUUGCCCCUUCGUGCUCUGCUCUGUCCGUCUAGCUUUCUCCCACGCGGGCGGGUGUCAGAGUGGGGACGGGUCAUCCUUCCUUGGGUGGGGACUGGGGUCAGUCUCCGCCACGUUCCCAGCCGACCGUUCCCCCCGCCGCCUGGCAAGGGCCUACAGGGCCGCCCCAUCAAUCGAUCGAUCAAUCGAUGGCAGGACACUAGGUCACGGAUAAUAAUAGGAUGUCCUCCGGCCACCUCAAACUCAACCUGCCCAAGACUGAGCUCCUCCCCUUCCCUCCCAAACCCUGUCCUCUCCCCGACUUCCCCGUCACUGUGGACGGCACGGACGUCCUUCCCGUCUCACGGGCCCGCAACCUCGGUGUCGUCCUUGACUCCGCUCUCUCAUUCGCCCCACACAACCGGUCCGUCACCGACACCUGCCGGGCUCGCCUUCUCAACAUUGCCAAGACCCGUCCCGUCCUCCCCAUCCAAACUGGGGAGGGAGGGAGAGAGAGAGACAGAGAGAGACAGAGAGAGAGAGACACACGAGAGAGAGACAGAGAGACAGAGAAAAACAAGAGAGUCACAGAGAGAGAGAAACAAGAGACAGAGAGAAACGAGAGAGACAGAGAGAGAAACGAGAGACAGGGAAAAACAAGAGAGAGACAAAGACAGAGAGACACUGGGAGAGAGACAGAGAGAGGGGACAGAGAGAGAGACAGAGAGAAACGAGAGAGAGAGACAGAGUGAAAUGAGAGAGAUAAUGAGAGAGACAGAAACAAGAGAGAGACAGAAUGAGAGAGAGAAAAACGAGAGAGACAGAGACAGAGAGAGACACAGGGAGAGGGACAGAGAGAGAGACAGAGAGAAACAAGAGAGCAAGAGAAUGAGAGAGACAGAGAAACAGGAGACAGAGAGAGAGACAGAGAGAGGGACAGAGAGAGACAGAGAGAAACAUGAGAGGGACAGAGAGAAACAAGAGAGAGACAGACAGAAAUGA